GACGAACCCGUCCUAACGUUAUUCGGAAUUACUGGGCUUAAAGCGCGUGUAGGCGGGUCGGCACGUUCGUCGCUGAAAUCCCACGGCUCAACCGUGGAACAGGCGUGAAUACGACCGACCUGGAGGGGUGUAGGGGACCUGGAACUUCCGGUGGAGCGGUGAAAUGCGUUGAGAUCGGGAGGAACGCCCGUGGCGAAAGCGAGGUCCUGGACACUUUCUGACGUCUGAGACGACGAACG
rnacentral:rRNA from 1 species